rnacentral:rRNA from 1 species
GACGAACGCUGGCGGCGUGCUUAACACAUGCAAGUCGAGCGGUAAGGCCCUUUCGGGGGUACACGAGCGGCGAACGGGUGAGUAACACGUGGGUGACCUGCCCUCAGCUCUGGGAUAAGCCUGGGAAACCGGGUCUAAUACCGGAUAUGACUCCAUGACGCAUGUUGUGGGGUGGAAAGCCUUGUGCGGCUGAGGAUGGGCCCGCGGCCUAUCAGCUUGUUGGUGGGGUGAUGGCCUACCAAGGCGACGACGGGUAGCCGGCCUGAGAGGGCGACCGGCCACACUGGGACUGAGACACGGCCCAGACUCCUACGGGAGGCAGCAGUGGGGAAUAUUGGACAAUGGGCGCAAGCCUGAUCCAGCGAUGCCGCGUGUGUGAAGAAGGCCUGCGGGUUGUAAAG